UGUAUGUCUAAUCUGCCCUAAGGUGGGGAACAACCAUUGGAAACGAUGGCUAAUACCGCAUAUGGGUUUCCGGAGGCAUCUCUGGAAGCUUAAAGACGUUUCGGCGUCGCCAUAGGAUGAGGACAUAUCGCAUUAGCUAGUUGGUAGGGUAAGAGCCUACCAAGGCAAUGAUGCGUAGCCGAACUGAGAGGUUGAACGGCCACAAUGGGACUGAGACACGGCCCAUACUCCUACGGGAGGCAGCAGUAGGGAAUUUUCCACAAUGGACGAAAGUCUGAUGGAGCAAUGCCGCGUGGGGGAUGAAGGUCUUCGGACUGUAAACCCCUGUUGUAGAGGAAGAACACUUAAGAUAGGUAAUGAUCUUAAGCUGACGGUACUCUACCAGAAAGUCACGGCUAACUAUGUGCCAGCCGCU
rnacentral:rRNA from 1 species